GGACCUGCCUCUGUGGCCUGCCUCCAGGGGUAGGUGCUGCUCCUUAUCCCCAUCACGUUCCUUCCAGGGUUUGGCUGUUUUAUAAGGCGCUGGUGGACCAGAACACGGCACAGCUUCUCCUCAAGGCUUCUGCGGAGCAGAGGGGAGGCCACGUCCUGACCCUGCAGAGCCAAGCCCAGCACACGGUGGCUGGUUGGACAGCUGUGCCCCACCUCCUGACCCUCAAGGGCAUGCUGAAGCAGAAGAAAACUCUUAGAGAGGGAUAUGGUAACAUAGGGCCUUACAACAUAGAGAAUUUGUAAAAAGAUGACCACAAGAUUCUGUGAGAAAGCUCUAUCAUUGUGGAAAGUGCCCUGUACUCUGUGAUUGAGAUUUGCAUGAGUUCUGGGUCUGGAAGCACAGAACUGCAGCCCAGAGGUACAGAAGGGCCUCUUCCCUGGUGGUGGUAGCCCACGAAUCCAACCUUCAACGAUAGGAGGGGGAGAUAUAAGGGUAUUUGGACCAUGCCAGGGUUCUGAGAGAACCUGGGUGGGGGCCAGGAGAUGCAAAUGGUUCUGAUUACAGCAAGAAUUUCCCUGUUGCAUGAAUUAUAUAUGGGAAUGGACUGGCCCAAAUAUGUGGAUUCUUCUCUGGAUGGAUGAGACCUCCAAGCAAUUUUUCCAUCCCCAGAAUUCCAGGUUGGAUCCUCAAGUCUUCCUGGGUCUCAUUUUUACAGUCUGUACAAUGGGGUCAUUCUAUCACUGCCCUGAGAUGGUGAACUUCGUGACUCCCUGGGUGACCAUUUUCAGCUCAGGGAGAAGCACUUCGCAAGAGUAUAGCUUGUUCACUGUGUAUGUGGGUGGCCUGGGGGCUGGGGGUUCCCUUGACCACCCAGGCCAGGCAGAAGGCGAACCGCUCCUUGGUGAGGUAUUGCAGGAACACCUGCUCGGCCUCACCUUGCUUUUCCUGGGGGCAGGAUCUGGCUGUGUUGUCCUUGAAUGGCUCCCUCCUGGUCCACCCUUGCACGGCCAGCCUGGCAGCUCAGGUAUCUUCCGGGGACACCUUCGCCCGGGCCCACAUCCACACAGCCUGCGGCCACCACCAUACCCAUCUGGACACCAGCCUCCAACACGCAUGGCCUCCACUUCAGGCGCUCGGGGUCGCCCCCGACAACCAUAUCCAAGUGUCUGUGGGGGGACACAAACACCCCAGGGCCAGGCUGGCGGUGGCCUUGGGCCAGUGCACCCUGACUGCUCAUGGGGAUGUCAUUACUGAGGCCAACACCACACACGCCAACUGGACCCUGUCGGUGGUGAAUCGCUGUCCCCCGCUGGAGGCAACAGGCCUCCCGCAGGCUCUGCGCUCCGAGGGCAACCUGAGCUGGAGCUCCUGUGAGGUCAGUCUGGCCUCGGGCCUCCGCAGCGACGACGGAGAAGCCCACCUGCAGCUGGCCCGCACCUGCGGGCCCCAGACCUCGGUCGUCGGGCACCUGGCCCACUCCCUGCCCCUGCUGGGCCGCCUGGGCCUGCCACCCAGUGGCACCAUCAGCCUGGCCGUCCAGCCACAGCCUGCCGCCCGCCACUCCCUGGCCCUCCAGCUGGGGCCAUGCCGGCUGCAGGGGACGCUGGAGCAGCGCGCUGGCAACCGGAGUGCAUGGAUGCUGGCCUCUGAGCCCGGCUGCCCGCUGCUGGAGGGUCUGGGCCUCCCAGCAGGGACACAGUUCAGCGGCUCCCUGCAGGCCGCAGGUGGGGAAGCCAAGGUGGCAGGGACCCUCACAUCGGCCAGUGGGACAGCCUCCCUGACCUUGACAGCGGUCGUGCACCAGUCCGAGGCCACGCUUCGAGUGAAACUGAGUCACAGGCUGUCUGCACUGCAGGCCGUCCCCCCAGAGACCUUGCUGACCGUCCGGCUCCGGUGGGAGGCCGGGCACCGGCUGGGUCUGGAGCUGCAGGUGGGGGCCUGUGAGCUGCAGGGCGAUGGUGAGCUGCACCUGGACCACGGGCUGCAGUGGCGGGUGCUGGCCGAGAGCUCCUGCGAGGCUCUGCAGGCGCUGGGGGUCCCGGGCCGAGUCAGCAGCUCCGGGGAUGUUGUGCUGAGCUCCGUGGCUGUGGACGCCCAGGUGCUGGUCGCCGUGAACAAUAGCACGCUGCGGGGGGUGCUCAUCCUCAAGACGACCGAGAGCCGGAGGCAGGUGGAUGUGUUGCUCACACACAGCCUGCCCCGACCCGGCCCCUUGGGCCUCCCAGCCCGGGUCCUGCUGGAGCUGGCCACCGAGAGCCACGGGCGCAGCUACCGACGCACCCUGCGGGCCGGAGUGGAUGGCAGACAGGUGAGGGGCUCUGCGGGCGGGGCCCCGGGGAGCCGGGGGUAGUGGGGACAGCCCAGCCCAGCGGUCCGGGUCUCACAGUCGUCCACACUGACAGGUGUCUGAGGAGCUGACGUUCACUCGGCAGCCAGAACACAUGUCCCUGGACUACACGCUCCAGCACAACAUCCCCACGCUGCGGACGCUGUGGGUGGAGGACAGUCUGAGCCUGCAGGUCAGCCCUGGCGAGCCCCCGUGGUAAUAGAAACCCACGCACGCACGCAUGCAUUCAUUCAGCAGACGUUCUUGGAAGUACGGCGGAGACAAGGGGGUGGUGGAAG
rnacentral:lncRNA from 12 species